rnacentral:lncRNA from 1 species
UGUUAGUGAAUUUGGCUAACAGCAUUUGAAGCAGAUGAGAUUUUAGCUCUCGCCUUGAUAGCUGCAUUGGCUCAGUCUAAGCUAAAGCCUUAUUUUCAUUAAAGGGAGCAGACAUGCUGAGGAAGAAGGUGCUAUUUUUACAUAGGGACUUUUUCUACUGAAACCACAUGAUAACACUAUGCUGUUAAAAUGAUCUCAAGCAUGCUGAGUUAGCUGAAGAAACAAUAUGCAUGCUGCCAAAAUCAAAGCAGUACUAUUCUGAGACUCCUCUCUAAGGUCCUCUAGCUCUCCUUGGUGGUCAUGAAGAAGGGACUAGGAGAGGAGCUGGUGAGAAUGUGUAAAUUACAGAAAUAUGAAGGACCACAGGCGUCAGAGGCCUUACUAUCAAAACGGACUUGUGACGCUGAACUCAUGUGCGUCGAAGGCUAAUUGGAGAUGGGAGUCUUCUUCCUACUUUGAUGAGGCUAGUUUUGAACUCCUAGCCUUGAACUAUCCUGCCUUGGCCUCCCAAAAUGCUGAGUUGACCAGUGUCCCAGGGGCUACCAAGCCUGGAUUGUUUUUGUGUGUGUGUGUGUUUUUUUAAAUACAUUUUGUUGUUUGAAUCAGGAUCCAAAUAAGGUUCAAACGAUGUGAAUUGUUGAUCUUUCUCACGUCUCUUUUAGUUUACAGGUUUCCUUUCCAUCUCUUCUUCCCCACUGGGGUGAGUUUUCCUAAAGGUGGCUUGCUCUAAGGAAGUAUACAU